UUAAGAGACUGUUUUGAGCAGUUUCAUUUUGACUGCUAGCUUUGAGCAGACUUGAGACUUGAAGAUUGUUAUCUGCAGCUACACAGGACUGGCACAGAAGCAGUUUAUACAGCAACAACUGUGUUUUCAAUUGUCUUGACUUUGCUCUCUGGGAUUAAGAACAGCAACAAGAAGUCACAACAGCCUGUUUAGAGUGUUGUUGCUAUUUGUUUAAAGUUGUAGAAUCAUACARUAUCAAGGACAUCUCAAGCUAGCUUGGACCUGAUAAUUGUUCACUGUUUAAAGCGUAGAUUGUAUUGUAAUUGGGCUUGAAUUAGUUUGUUUUG